GUUGUGAAAAACAUGGAAAAAGCCUGGAUUCAAUUAGAAAACACUGGAGGUAGAAUUAACUAACCCUGGGGCCUGAAUUCAAUUAGAAAACACUGGAGGUAGAAUUAUCUAACCCUGGGGCCUGAAUUCAAUUAGAAAACACUGGAGGUAGAAUUAACUAACCCUGGGGCCUGGAUUCAAUUAGAAAACACUGGAGGUAGAAUUAUCUAACCCUGGGGCCUGGAUUCAAUUAGAAAACACUGGAGGUAGAAUUAACAAACCCUGGGGCCUGGAUUCAAUUAGAAAACACUGGAGGCAGAAUUAACAAACCCUGGGGCCUGGAUUCAAUUAGAAAACACUGGAGGUAGAAUUAACAAACCCUGGGGCCUGGAUUCAAUUAGAAAACACUGGAGGUAGAAUUAACAAACCCUGGGGCCUGGAUUCAAUUAGAAAACACUGGAGGCAGAAUUAACAAACCCUGGGGCCUGGAUUCAAUUAGAAAACACUGGAGGUAGAAUUAACAAACCCUGGGGCCUGGAUUCAAUUAGAAAACACUGGAGGCAGAAUUAACAAACCCUGGGGCCUGGAUUCAAUUAGAAAACACUGGAGGUAGAAUUAACAAACCCUGGGGCCUGGAUUCAAUUAGAAAACACUGGAGGUAGAAUUAUCUAACCCUGGGGCCUGAAUUCAAUUAGAAAACACUGGAGGUAGAAUUAUCUAACCCUGGGGCCUGAAUUCAAUUAGAAAACACUGGAGGUAGAAUUAUCUAACCCUGGGGCCUGAAUUCAAUUAGAAAACACUGGAGGUAGAAUUAUCUAACCCUGGGGCCUGAAUUCAAUUAGAAAACACUGGAGGUAGAAUUAACUAACCCUGGGGCCUGGAUUCAAUUAGAAAACACUGGAGGUAGACUUCUCUAACCCUGGGGCCUGGAUUCAAUUAGAAAACACUGGAGGUAGAAUUAUCUAACCCUGGGGCCUGGAUUCAAUUAGAAAACACUGGAGGUAGAAUUAUCUAACCCUGGGGCCUGGAUUCAAUUAGAAAACACUGGAGGUAGAAUUAACUAACCCUGGGGUCUCGAUUCAAUUAGAAAACACUGGAGGUAGAAUUAACUAACCCUGGGGCCUGGAUUCAAUUAGAAAACACUGGAGGUAGAAUUAACAAACCCUGGGGCCUGAAUUCAAUUAGAAAACACUGGAGGUAGAAUUAACUAACCCUGGGGUCUCGAUUCAAUUAGAAAACACUGGAGGUAGAAUUAACUAACCCUGGGGCCUGGAUUCAAUUAGAAAACACUGGAGGUAGAAUUAACUAACCCUGGGGCCUGGAUUCAAUUAGAAAACACUGGAGGUAGAAUUAACUAACCCUGGGGCCUGGAUUCAAUUAGAAAACACUGGAGGUAGAAUUAACUAACCCUGGGGCCUGGAUUCAAUUAGAAAACACUGGAGGUAGAAUUAACUAACCCUGGGGCCUGGAUUCAAUUAGAAAAC